AGCUGCAGGCCAAUGCGGAUGCUCUAUCCCGGACUUAUUGUAUGUUUAUGAAAAGUGUCCGUACCCACGGGGUCGAACAGAGGGGGGAGGUAUGUGACAGGGUGUCACAAUGUUUAGCAGAGAAAGUGCUGGAUGGUGUAUACAUUGCACCAGGAUUCCGGCACUUCAUGUGUUAAAAGACUCCAGGAAUGUUUGGGGUUUUACCUGUCUGUGUGCUGAUCACACAGGUGGAGUAUUUAGGUCAGUGGGCCUGACACAGAGUUCUCUUCCUAUAUGCAGGCUGCCUGAAAGCUGGAAGGAAAGGAGCUCUGUGAGUGAUUUUCAAAUUCCCUGAAAACCACGAAACUCAUCAAUCAGCAGGCACACACAUUCAGCCAGGUCUGGUGAAUUUCACAAGUGCAUAACAUUGGGCCCAAUAGAGUCCUGGAAAUUGGUAUGAAUGGCAGGCUUGAUCUGCAGGAAUCGAAUCAAAUCGUGUGAGCAUUGCUGUUAAUUGUCAUAACGGGGCACAACCUCUUUGACACCACAGAACGAAAGCAGUGGUUUGGGAAGAGGAGUCAACAAUUUAUCAGGCUCACAAAAAGACAGUAAAUCUGUUGGGCAUCAAUAUUUAUGGCCAGGCUCCUCCCUUUGUCUCAGACACAAUUACUGAAACUGCAAGCCAAUGGUUUCUAUGCUACGGUGCCAAAAGAAUUGUUCUGAACUCCUGCUGAGAAACUCCCACAGAUGAUGCCUUAGAAGACCUCCAGGAAGUAUGACUUUCCUGGCCAUGACACUGGAUGAAAUGUAAAGUUAUACAGUAGUUAGAUGAAAUGUAUAGUUAGACCUGGUAUGAAGAUAUGCUUUUGCAAUUUGGUUCUGUAAAUAAAUCAGUUUACUAUUUUUUUUAUACAGCAUCCGGCUGAAUGUUCCAGCUGUGUGAAGUGACUCAGUUUCACAGCAGAUUAAAAUAGCUGUAUGUUAUAGUUCAAAAAUUGUUUGUGCACCUUAACUAGUGAUGAUAACACUGAUAUCACCCACCUGAAAUUCCACUGUGAACUAAGCAAUAGCUAAAUAGAACCUUUUGGAUUUGUAAUGUGAACCUGUCAAUGAGGUUUCAGCGUGGCCUUCCAGUAGAAUAACGGACUCCCUGAAGCAUUUUAUUAAUGUUAAUGUAGAAAGAAGAGGAUGUUUUAAUUAAAAAAGAAUCCCAACUGACAGUUGAUCUGAGUCUAUUUUUUACAACUAGGAUAGGGAUCACCACCAGUCCUGGGAGACAAG